GGGCGUAAAGCGCAUGCAGGUNGUUUGUUAAGUCAGAUGUGAAGCCCGGGGCUCAACCUCGGGAAUUGCAUUUGAAACUGGCAAACUAGAGNUACUGUAGAGGGGGGUAGAAUUUCAGGUGUAGCGGUGAAAUGCGUAGAGAUCUGAAGGAAUACCGGUGGNGAAGGCGGCCCCCCUGGACAGAUACUGACACUCAGAUGCGAAAGCGUGGGGAGCAAACAGGAUUAGAUACCCUGGUAGUCCACGCCGUAAAACGAUGUCUACUUGGAGGUUGUGGCCUUGAGCCGUGGCUUUCGGAGCUAACGCGUUAAGUAGACCGCCUGGGGAGUACGGUCGCAAGAUUAAAACUCAAAUGAAUUGACGGGGGCCCGCACAAGCGGUGGAGCAUGUGGUUUAAUUCGAUGCAACGCGAAGAACCUUACCUACUCUUGACAUCUACAGAAGCCAGCGGAGACGCAGGUGUGCCUUCGGGAACUGUAAGACAGGUGCUGCAUGGCUGUCGUCAGCUCGUGUUGUGAAAUGUUGGGUUAAGUCCCGCAACGAGCGCAACCCUUAUCCUUGUUUGCCAGCACUUCGGGUGGGAACUCCAGGGAGACUGCCGGUGAUAAACCGGAGGAAGGUGGGGACGACGUCAAGUCAUCAUGGCCCUUACGAGUAGGGCUACACACGUGCUACAAUGGCGCAUACAGAGGGCGGCCAACUUGCGAAAGUGAGCGAAUCCCAAAAAGUGCGUCGUAGUCCGGAUUGGAGUCUGCAACUCGACUCCAUGAAGUCGGAAUCGCUAGUAAUCGUGGAUCAGAAUGCCACGGUGAAUACGUUCCCGGGCCUUGUACACACCGCCCGUCACACCAUGGGAGUGGGCUGCAAAAGAAGUGGGUAGUUUAACCUUCGGGAGGACGCUCACCACUUUGUGGUUCAUGACUGGGGUGAAGUCGUAACAAGGUAACCG
rnacentral:rRNA from 1 species